UUCCUGGUGGUCCAAGGGCUAAGACUUUGAGCUACUAAUUCAGGGGGCCUGGGUUUGAUCCCUGGUCAGGAAA
rnacentral:tRNA from 1 species